rnacentral:sRNA from 1 species
AUAUGACUUUUAUGAACUAGAUUUUUUCCGGCGCAGAAGCCGCGCCGGUUCUCGGUUAC